GGUAUCGUGGCGGAAUUGGUAGACGCACGACGAGUACUGGAGCUUUACCCAGCCGGAAGGGUUACUCAAAGCAGAAAGCUCAUGCAGGUUCGAAUCCUGCCGAUACCACCA
rnacentral:tRNA from 3 species